rnacentral:rRNA from 1 species
AGAGUUUGAUCAUGGCUCAGAAUGAACGCUGGCGGCGUGCUUAACACAUGCAAGUCGAACGAGAAAGCCCCUUCGGGGGUGAGUAGAGUGGCGAACGGGUGAGUAACGCGUAAGAAUCUGCCCAUCAGUGAAGAAUACCUUCGGGAAACUGGAGUUAAUACUGCAUACGUCCCUUCGGGGAGAAAGACGGCCUCUUGCUGUCGCUGAUGGAUGAGCUUGCGUACUAUUAGCUUGUUGGUGAGGUAAAGGCUCACCAAGGCUUUGAUGGUUAGCCGACCUGAGAGGGUGAUCGGCCACAUUGGGACUGAGAUACGGCCCAGACUCCUACGGGAGGCAGCAGUGGGGAAUAUUGCACAAUGGGCGAAAGCCUGAUGCAGCGACGCCGCGUGGAGGAUGACGGCUUUCGAGUUGUAAACUCCUGUUAAGAGGGAAGAAAGACGGAUGGCUAAUAUCCAUUCGGGAUGACGGUACCUCUAGAGAAAGCUCCGGCUAACUUCGUGCCAGCAGCCGCGGUAAUACGAAGGGAGCGAGCGUUAUUCGGAAUCACUGGGCGUAAAGGGCGUGUAGGCGGUUUAUUAAGUCAGUUGUUAAAGCCCGUGGCUUACCCACGGAAAGGCAAUUGAUACUGGUAGACUAAGAGGGCAGGAGAGAGAAGUGGAAUUCUCGGAGUAGCGGUAAAAUGCGUAGAUCUCGAGAGGAACACCGAUGGCGAAGGCAGCUUCUUGGCCUGUACCUGACGCUGAGGCGCGAAAGCGUGGGGAGCAAACAGGAUUAGAUACCCUGGUAGUCCACGCCGUAAACGAUGAUCACUAGAUGUUGGUUUCGCUUAGCGAGAUCAGUGUCACAGCUAACGCGUUAAGUGAUCCGCCUGGGGAGUACGGUCGCAAGAUUAAAACUCAAAGGAAUUGACGGGGGUCCGCACAAGCGGUGGAACAUGUGGUUUAAUUCGACACUACGCGAGGAACCUUACCUAGACUUGACAUGUAAGUGAUCAUUGCAGAGAUGUAAUUUUCCUAGUUUACUAGGACACUUACACAGGUGCUGCAUGGCUGUCGUC